rnacentral:rRNA from 1 species
UUUUAUUUGAGAGUUUGAUCCUGGCUCAGGAUGAACGCUGGCGGCGUGCCUAACACAUGCAAGUUGAGCGAUUUACUUCGGUAAAGAGCGGCGGACGGGUGAGUAACGCGUGGGUAACCUACCCUGUACACACGGAUAACAUACCGAAAGGUAUGCUAAUACGGGAUAAUAUAUUUGAGAGGCAUCUCUUAAAUAUCAAAGGGGAGCAAGUACAGGAUGGCCGCGUGUCGUUUUAGCUAGUUGGUAAGGUAACGGCUUAACAAGGC